rnacentral:lncRNA from 1 species
GUCUGGUUUCCACAUUCUUUCAUAUUUUAUUGAGUACAUUAUAACCUAAACCUACCCACCUUAUACAGACCAAAAAUUCCCAAGUCCCGGAGCACAUUCAGGGCGCUGACUCUGGGUCCCGUGGUGAUCUCUCCAGCUACUUGCAGACGAAUCUUCACUAUCUCCAAUGGGUUGGUAAAAAUGACCUGAGAGCCUCCAGCCUGUAGGCAAGGGAGAAGAGA